rnacentral:rRNA from 1 species
UACAGAGGGUGCAAGCGUUAAUCGGAAUUACUGGGCGUAAAGCGCAUGUAGGUGGUUAUAUAAGACAGAUGUGAAAUCCCGGGGCUCAACCCCGGAACUGCAUUUGAAACUGCCUUGCUCGAGUACUGGAGAGGAGACUGGAAUUUACGGUGUAGCGGUGAAAUGCGUAGAUAUCGUAAGGAAGACCAGUGGCGAAGGCGGGUCUCUGGACAGUUCCUGACGCUGAGGCACGAAGGCCAGGGGAGCAAACGGG